CGGAGAGACCGGCGUAUGGACUCACCCGAGUUCAGCCGCUGCCUUGGCAGAGGGGUAGAAUGGUGGAUUUAAUAUAGUUAUAGGCCUAUGUGUUCCGAUGCUAACCCGUGCCUCAAUGAUGGAAUCUAUGUGUCUGGUACGUGUCAAUGUAUAUAUCCCUACACUGGUGAAUUGUGUCAAGAUAUAAACAUAUGCUAUAAUGGAGGUAAAGAAACAGUCGAUGGUUUCUGUGAUUGUCCACCGAAUUUCUGUGGUGAACUAUGUAAUA